GAGGCAUACUUUGGCUUACUUUGAAUUUGGUAGCGUAGGCGUUGUGAUAUAUGAAGGCGUACUUUGAAUUUAUGCUGCGCACAAAUCACUGUAUAAAACCCUACACCACUGCUCCUUAAACCCUAAUAUUUUCCCCAAUUCUUUUCCCUGGAAAUGUUCCGCAGAAGGACAGAGGUUCUGACUUCGGCUCCCCCGCGGCCGCUUCUGUUGAGGGUUUCUGUGUCGUUAAUCGGGUCGUUGUGCUCCUGUGGAUUGGGGAAGCUGGGGCCGAGUUCGUUUUAUAUAAUCUGCAGUUAAUAAGAAAUGGGAGGAAAUUGACUGUUGCUUGUAUUUCAAGACAUUGUACUCUUCUUUUUCAAGGAACACCUUAAGAGAUUUAAGAAAAUGGCAGGGGGCAAUAAACUGCAUAAGAAUGAUCAACCUUCGAUCAAAUACAGGUGGUACCCAGUUGGUCAGGCAUCCUCUGGGCUUCCUGGUUUUGUUCAUGA